ACGCUGGCGGCGCGCCUAACACAUGCAAGUCGAACGAGAGAUGAGGAGCUUGCUCUUCAAUCGAGUGGCGAACGGGUGAGUAACGCGUGAGGAACCUGCCUCAAAGAGGGGGACAACAGUUGGAAAUGACUGCUAAUACCGCAUAAGCCCACGGCUCGGCAUCGAGCAGAGGGAAAAGGAGCGAUCCGCUUUGAGAUGGCCUCGCGUCCGAUUAGCUAGUUGGUGAGAUAACAGCCCACCAAGGCGACGAUCAGUAGCCGACCUGAGAGGGUGAUCGGCCACAUUGGGACUGAGACACGGCCCAAACUCCUACGGGAGGCAGCAGUGGGGAAUAUUGCACAAUGGGGGAAACCCUGAUGCAGCAACGCCGCGUGAAGGAAGAAGGUUUUCGGAUCGUAAACUUCUAUCAACAGGGACGAAGAAAGUGACGGUACCUGAAUAAGAAGCCCCGGCUAACUACGUG
rnacentral:rRNA from 1 species